rnacentral:rRNA from 1 species
UACGUAGGGCGCAAGCGUUAUCCGGAAUUAUUGGGCGUAAAGGGCUCGUAGGCGGUUUGUCGCGUCGGGAGUGAAAACUCAGGGCUCAACCCUGAGCGUGCUUCCGAUACGGGCAGACUAGAGGUAUGCAGGGGAGAACGGAAUUCCUGGUGUAGCGGUGGAAUGCGCAGAUAUCAGGAGGAACACCGGUGGCGAAGGCGGUUCUCUGGGCAUUACCUGACGCUGAGGAGCGAAAGCGUGGGGAGCGAACAGG